GUACGUUUGUGUAUAUUAAUAUAACAAAUGCGAUAAUUUUCGAAAAUGAUCAGCUGCUUGGCGAACUUUAUACAAAGAUAAAAAAUGAAAGUAUGAGACUAUAUUCUAGUGAUAAUGUUACUAAGUCUGUAGUUAACACAUACUUAAGUAACCCAAAAGCACGCAAUGAUUGGAGAAUGAAAAAUUGGGAAGCCAAUAAGAUAAUUAAUUCCAUGUGGAGUAAGGAACCUAUGUCGAAAGUGCAGUUUAAAUUAUUAAUAAAAUCAUUAUUUACUUUUGAGCAACUCAACCAAAUUUAUAACGAGGUACUUGAAUUUAAUGCGAAAAUAGAGUAUGAAUUUGGUGUUCGCAUGAAAACAAGCAUUGUUGACAAGCAAGCAGUUAAAAAAUACUUUUUUCUUCACCCCCAUGGACUAGUUAAAGAGGAAAUCGAAGAGAUAACUGAACAUUUGCUUGAUAAACAUAUGUCAAACGAGAAGUUUAGAUAUUUAAUGAUAUUUAGAAAUCCUUAUGUACAAUAUAACACCAGCCAGUAGUGGAUUUAAACAUUUGCAGCAUCUAGG